rnacentral:lncRNA from 10 species
AAGAGCUGUCUUCCAAUGGGAAUUGAAUGGGAAGUUACUAGGAAAUGGAUCAGGGCCCUGGUAAGCUCAAGAGAACACGAAUUUUCUGCCAAGAGCAGCCACGUUUUUCUUUUCUGAUUUUCUAGCUGGCUGCCUCACUCACAGCUUUCUCUGCAACGGGUGCCUCCACAAUUGUGAUAGAGAAUGACAUGCCCCAGCAUAAUGCCUCAACCCAAGUGUCAACCUACCCUUGACAGAGAAGAGAACCCCAAAUGAAUCUCCCAAGGGGAGGAAAAUAAGUUCUGGGAGAUCUGCUGGUAUAGAAAAGUGGGACAGUGUGCUGGGCCCUCGUCUUCCACCCCGGGAGGCUGACAGUAUGGACCACAUCCGUGGGAUCUCUGGAUUCUGGUUGAGUCUGCCAGAGAGAGUCAGGCUCCCUCCCUGAUUCUCCCUGUGGAAAAUCACAUCGGACUGGCUCUGGCCCUUGACCAAAAGUCAUUGUGUUUCUCAAAACAGCCUGCUUUAUACAGCUUUCUCCAGGGUUCCAGUAACUGCAUCCUUCCCCUGCCCUCCCGGUUCAGGGUGGUAAGGGCUCUGCUAUUUCUCCUGAGUUGCAGUGUCAUCUCCUAUAGUUCCCUGCACCUCAUUCUCUCUUGUGUAAAAUGUCACUAAUUAAAUAUCCUUCGAUGCCCCUAACUUGAAUGUGUCUUAAGACCCAAACUGAUACAGACAAGGUGAUUGCAAAUGUCAGGUGAAGCUUUGACUCCUGGUUCCAGCACUGUCAAAAGCCUUGGGAAAGAACAUUUCAUGUCUCUGUAUCUCAGUGGUCUCAACUGUAAAAUGGGAAGAAAACAACACAACUAUGACGGCCUACCUGAGCAUCAGAUGUGUCCAUGUAAGGAAAGUACCCAGAGACGUCCUGGUUAUACAGUAGGAGCACAAGGAAUACAAGUCCUCCCCCUUUCAUGCCAUUUUUCCCCUCUCCAACACUUCCUCCUGUCUUGUAACAAUGGGAGGCUUUGGACGAUUUAAAGGCUCUUCUCCGUUGCAUGAGUCAGAAACAAGUAACAAAACCAAGUGAUAAAUUUACGUGGACCACAGACAGACGCCUUUUUGUGCUUGUCAAUAAAAUGUUUAAAAUAGAACUUGAUUUGCUUUCGCUUUAAAGAAGGUUAUUAACUUGCUUAGAUUUACCCGAGGAACAGAGGCAGGUGUUGUUCCCCAUUACUCACUAGGUCUUUAAUCAGCAUCCAGG